rnacentral:lncRNA from 1 species
GGGCCAGGGGGCCUCGCUUAUAUAGUCCUCCCCUUCUAUGCGUUUUUGGGUCGAUAGCCGAGGUGGUACUAUGUUUUGCUUGAUCCAAUAGGUCGGUGGAAUAUCCCGAGCGAAGGAGUCCUGAAUUGGCUCCAACAGGGGGGCGGGCGCCCAGGCUACGAGGGCGGGCGCCCUGGGCCUGGCCCAGCUUCGCCUCCACUUCGGUCUCGUGGCUUCUGGAGUCUUCU